AUUUGAACAACCCAAAGUAUUAUAACCCUUUAUAGAAACUUAUAUAUUUUGGCGGCAUCUCAUCUAUUUAGAGGAACCUGUCUUUUAAUCGAUAACCCACGAUAAUUUUCACUUUUCCAUAAAAUUUACAUACCGUCAUCUUCAAAUAAAUUCAAAAAUAAAAUUUACAAAACUAAUCUAAAAAGAUAGAUCAAGGCGUAAUCAAUAGAAAAGUUAAGAUGUGUUACUUUAAACAUUAUUUAAGGACUACCACUAAAAAUUGUUAAACAAAAAGGAUUUAAAAGUAAUUCAUUAAAAAAUAUUUAAUAUUGAAAUAGAUUAUUAAUGUGC
rnacentral:rRNA from 1 species